rnacentral:rRNA from 1 species
UCACCUGCCGAAGCAACUAGCCCUGAAAAUGGAUGGCGCUGUAGCGUCGUGCCUAUACCGGGCCGUCAACGGCAAAGUGGGCUGUCGGCAGGCCGGUUUACGCCGGCUUGUCGCGGCCGUUAAGCCUUGACGAGUAGGAGGCGCGCGGCGGUGUGCGCAGAAGGGUCUGGGCGCAAGCCCGCCUGGAGCCGCCGUCGGUGCAGAUCUUGGUGGUAGUAGCAAAUACUCUAGCGAGGGCCUGGAGGGCUGAUGUGGAGAAGGGUUUCUUGUGAACAGCCGUUGCACAAGAGUCAGUCGAUCCUAAGCCCUAGGAGAAAUCCGAUGUUGAUGGGCAGCGAUCAUACGGCAAAAGCCGCGUUGGCGGGUCGUCGGUACCACUCACUACCGUCGUCCUUCCCCGGCCGAACCGCUGACUGCUCCCGUCGGGCGAAAGGGAAUCCGGUCCCUAUUCCGGAACCCGGCCGCGGAACCGUAUUCAGCGGGCGCUCGCCUGCCGAGAGCCCGUCGGGGUAACCCAACAAGACCCGGAGACGCCGGCGGGAGGUCUGGGAAGAGUUGUCUUUUCUGUAUAAGCGUUCGAGUUCCCUGGAAUCCUCUAGCAGGGAGAUAGGGUUUGGAACGCGAAGAGCACCGCAGUUGCGGCGGUGUCCGGACCUUCCCCCCGGACCUUGAAAAUCCGGGUGAGGGCUACGCGGAAAAUGUCGCGCCGGUUCGUACCCAUAUCCGCAGCAGGUCUCCAA